UACGUAGGGGGCAAGCGUUGUCCGGAUUUAUUGGGCGUAAAGCGCUCGCAGGUGGUUCGUUGCGUCGUGCGUGAAAGACCCCGGCUCAACUGGGGAGGGUCGUGCGAUACGGGCGGACUGGAGGCCAGUAGGGGGAUGCGGAAUUCCGGGUGUAGUGGUGGAAUGCGUAGAGAUCCAGAGGAACACCAGCGGCGAAGGCGGCAUCCUGGACUGGUCCUGACACUCAGGAGCGAAAGCGUGGGGAGCGAUCCGG
rnacentral:rRNA from 1 species